GGGGAAUCUUGCGCAAUGGGCGAAAGCCUGACGCAGCCAUGCCGCGUGGAUGAUGAAGGUCUUAGGAUUGUAAAAUCCUUUCACCGGUGAAGAUAAUGACUGUAGCCGGAGAAGAAGCCCCGGCUAACUUCGUGCCAGCAGCCGCGGUAAUACGAAGGGGGCUAGCGUUGCUCGGAAUUACUGGGCGUAAAGGGAGCGUAGGCGGACAUUUAAGUCAGGGGUGAAAUCCCAGAGCUCAACUCUGGAACUGCCUUUGAUACUGGGUGUCUUGAGUGUGAUAGAGGUAUGUGGAACUCCGAGUGUAGAGGUGAAAUUCGUAGAUAUUCGGAAGAACACCAGUGGCGAAGGCGACAUACUGGAUCAUUACUGACGCUGAGGCUCGAAAGCGUGGGGAGCAAAC
rnacentral:rRNA from 1 species